GAAUGGAGCCAGACACAAAGUAAUUCAUUACUAAAAAGUUGAGAAUGAACCAGUGGUGGUAUGGUUGCGGUCUGUCAGUAAUAUGGUAAUACCCGCAGCGAGAACUGGUAGUGCUAGUAGUAGAAGAACUGCCGUGAUUAGGACUGAUCAUACAAAUAGAGGUGUUUGGUAUUGAGUGACAGCUGGGGGUUUUAUGUUAAUAAUUGUUGUGAUGAAAUUAAUUGCUCCAAGGAUUGAUGAGACACCUGCCAAGUGGAAGGAGAAAAUUGUAAGGUCUACGGAGGCUCCAGCAUGGGCCAAAUUUCCGGCUAGAGGUGGAUAUACUGUUCAUCCUGUACCUGCCCCGGCUUCUACUAUUGAUGAUGCUAGCAGGAGUAGGAAUGAUGGGGGAAGGAGUCAAAAGCUUAUGUUAUUUAUACGAGGAAAGGCUAUAUCUGGUGCUCCAAUCAUGAGUGGAACAAGUCAGUUUCCAAAACCUCCGAUUAUGAUCGGUAUAACUAUGAAGAAGAUUAUGAUAAAUGCGUGAGCUGUUACUACAACAUUGUAAAUUUGAUCAUCUCCUAGCAGAGCCCCUGGCUGUCCAAGUUCUGCUCGGAUUAAGAUACUUAAAGCGGUUCCUACUAUUCCAGCUCAAGCCCCAAACAUAAGAUAAAGUGUUCCGAUAUCCUUAUGGUUGGUUGAGAAUAGUCAACGAGUGAUGAACAUAGGUAAGAUGGCUGAGUAAGCAUUAGACUGUAAAUCUAAAGACAGGGAAAGUACCCUUCUUACCAUAGCCUCGAGGUGUUUAACAUGUUGAAUUGCAAAUUCGAAGAAGCAGCUACAGCUGCCGGGGCUUCUCCCGCCUUUUUUUUUUUUAGUAUAGUGAGCUUACUAGUGGAGAUAGUGGUAGUGCUAGGGAGGAGAUGAUGAUUAGUGGUGAUAGAAGUGGGUGUUUUUUACUAUUUUGGUGGUGUGUAUUAGUUUUUAUGUUGUUGGAUUAUACGCGGCUCCAAGAAAAAUGAUUGUUGAUAGGGCAUUUAUUAUGAUGAUGUUGGUGUAUUCUGCUAUGAAGAAUAGUGCGAAUGGACCUGCAGCGUAUUCUACAUUGAAGCCUGAUACUAGUUCAGAUUCUCCUUCUGUUAGAUCAAAUGGGGCUCGGUUUGUUUCUGCUAGUGUAGAGAUAAAUCAUAUGAAGGCUAAUGGUCAUGCCGGUAGUAGGAAUCAGGUCAGUUCUUGUGAUGAAAUUACUGAUAAUAGUGAAAAGGAUCCUGAUAGUAGGAGGAUGGAUAGGAGAAUAAUGGCUAGUGUUACUUCGUAUGAAAUUGUUUGGGCUACUGCCCGUAGGGCUCCGAUUAGUGCGUAUUUGGAGUUUGAGGUUGCUAGGAUGAAUAGGGCUCCUAGGUUUAGGUUGAGUAGGGGGUAGGGCAUUGGUAGUGGGAUUCAUAAGGAUAGUGCUAGUGUGAGGGCCAGGGUUGGGGCAAUAAUAAAAAGGGUUAGUGAUGCGGUUAAAGGUUUUAGUGGUUCCUUGGUAAAUAGUUUUAUAGCGUCGGCGAAGGGUUGGAGUACACCAUAUGGGCCAACUACGUUUGGGCCUUUUCGUAGUUGUAUAUAUCCUAGGGUUUUUCGUUCUACUAGGGUUAGGAAGGCUAUGGCUACUAGGAUUGGUAGCAAUAGGGUUAAUAUAUUAAUUAGGUGCACUAUUAGGGAGAGGAUUUGAACCUCUGAUUAUAAGGUUUUAAGUCUUAUGCAAUUUCCAAGCUCUGCCACCCCAAUAACCCUUAUCUUGGGUGGUGGUGUUACAUAUUUUGUAUAUUUAGAUAGUUUCAUAUGUUAUGUUAAAGGUGCUAUUGAAUAGUUGACCUUACUUCUCUGGUCCUUUCGUACUAGGAGAAGUUGUUAAUAGAUAGAAACCGACCUGGAUUACUCCGGUCUGAACUCAGAUCACGUAGGACUUUAAUCGUUGAACAAACGAACCAUUAAUAGCGGCUGCACCAUUUGGAUGUCCUGAUCCAACAUCGAGGUCGUAAACCCUAUUGUCGAUAGGAACUCUUAAAUAGGAUUGCGCUGUUAUCCCUAGGGUAACUUGGUCCGUUGAUCAAUUUCAUGAUUGGAUCAAUUGUUGACUACUUAAGUAUCUUUAGGCUAGUAGGCCUAGAGUUGAGUCACUUGGAGGUUUUUUUGUACUCCGAGGUCACCCCAACCGAAAUCUUUCUCUUAUCUAAUUUGUAUUGUUAGUCCAUUAGGUUGUUAGUGUUAGUUAGUAAGAGAGUUGAUUAAAGCUCCAUAGGGUCUUCUCGUCUUAUUUGUUUAUACCCGCCUCUUCACGGGUAGGUCAAUUUCACUGAUUGGAAGUAAGAGACAGUUAAGCCUUCCUCUUGCCUUUCAUACAAGUCCCUAAUUAAGGAACAAGUGAUUAUGCUACCUUUGCACGGUCAGGAUACCGCGGCCGUUUAACGUGUGUCACUGGGCAGGCAGUGCCUCUAAUACUAGUAAUGCUAGAGGUGAUGUUUUUGGUAAACAGGCGGGGCUUUUGUUUGCCGAGUUCCUUUUACUUCUUUUAAUCUUUCCUUAGUGCACUCCUGUGUUGGAUUAACAAUUGGUUGGUCUAGGUGGUUUAUAAUUGGUUUAUAUCUAGGAGUUUGUUAACUAACAAUGGGUAUUCGGUUUGUUAUAGGCUUGUGCGUAGGAGAAUUUUUCUUGUUACUCAUAAUAACAUUGUCUCAUCUAUAGUUUUAUAGAUUGACCCAGUAUUUGUUUAGGAAUUCAUUGUGAUUUUGGGGAUUGAAGUUGUAUUGGGGGUUGAGCUUGAACGCUUUCUUAAUUGGUGGCUGCUUUUAAACCAACUAUGGGAUUUAGUUUAGUUUAUUCUCUAUAUAAGGAUGAGUCCUUUAUCUAAAGAGCUGUCCCUCUUUAGAUUAUCCUUUAAGUUUACAUUUGGAUUUUGUGUUCUUAUGGUAAAAUUUAAGGAAGAACUAAUAUUCGUUUUCUGGGUAACCAGCUAUCACCAAGCUCGUUAGGCUUUUCACCUCUACCUAAAAAUCAUCCCACUAUUUUGCCACAUAGACGGGUUCAUUCAUAAAAUUGUUCUUAGGUAGCUCGUUUGGUUUCGGGGUCUAUAGCUAAAAUUCUUUUUGUUAUAGGUUUUCUAGUUAAUUCAUUAUGCAAAAGGUACAAGGGUUAAUCUUUGCUUUGUUGUACUUUGAAUUAUUCUUUCAUCUUUCCCUUACGGUACUGUCUCUAUAGCGCCUUGUAAUAAUUUCUAUCUCCUAUACUUUUAUUUAGGUAGUAAAUGUUUUGAUUUAUUGUGUAAUGGUAGUUUAGUUGAGUAGUGGUUGGGCUAGAAUUAGUUCAGAGCAUCCUUGGUGGUGGAAUCUUCGGGGUGUAGGCCAGAUGCUUUAUAUAAGCUACACUUUGGUUUUGCCAAGCACACUUUCCAGUAUGCUUACCUUGUUACGACUUGUCUCCUCUAAUAUUUAUUAUUGAUUUAUAAAGAAAUAGUUUCAAUUUUUAGCACUUGAGGAGAGUGACGGGUGGUGUGUGCGUACUUCAUUGCUGAGUUCAAUUAAGCUCUCUAUUCUUAAUUUACUACUAAAUCCUCCUUCACCCCUCUAGUUUCAUGAAGGGUUCCAUAAUUUUCUUAUACAGAAAAUGUAACUCAUUGCUUUCCACCUCAUUGGCUACACCUUGACCUAACGUAUUUACGAUUAUCAUUUAGCUCACUGUUUGUCCUUGACAGGGUUUGCUGAAGAUGGCGGUAUAUAGGCUGAAUUAGCAAGGGGUGGUAAGGUGUAACGGGGUUUAUCGAUUAUAGAACAAGCUCCUCUAGGCAGAUAUAAAGUACCGCCAAGUCCUUUGAGUUUUAAGCUGUGGCUAGUAGUUCUCUGGCGAAUAAUUUUGUUUUUGAAUUAUUUAUGUUUAGGGCUAAGCAUAGUGGGGUAUCUAAUCCCAGUUUGUGUCUUAGCUAUCGUGUAGUCAAGAUUAUUAGGAUUACUUUCGUUAUUGUAAUUAUUUAUACCAUGAAAUUUCUACGUUAUUGGUAAUUUUCUAUCCUAUUUAUUUAAUUCUAUGUACAUGCUUUACGCUGGGUGAUUAUUAGUUUGGGUCAAUCGUAUGACCGUGGUGGCUGGCACGAGAUUUACCAACACUUAUUGGUAUGACUAAGUCAAACUUUCGUUCAUUGCUUAAUUUUUAUCACUGCUGUUUCCCGUGGGGGUGUGGCUUAGUGAGGUGUCUUUAGCUACUUGUGUGUGCUUGAUACCAUCUCCUUUUGAUCACUUAGUAAGUGAUUUCAUGGGAUUCUGCACUGGUGCGUGGAGUCUAGCAUGUGUAAGUCUACCUAUAACUAAUAAUAAGGCCAGGACCUCCCAUGCUCAUGGAUUGGAAGAAUUAAUAUUGUGAAAAUGACCAUCCUACCAAGAGUCAUAUAUAGAUUCAAUGCAAUCCCAAUCAAAAUCCCCAUGACAUUUUUCACAGAAUUGGAAAAAACUAUCCUAA
rnacentral:lncRNA from 1 species